GACGGAGGGUGCAAGCGUUGCUCGGAAUCACUGGGCGUAAAGGGUGCGUAGGCGGUCUCGCAAGUCUGGCGUGAAAGCCCAAGGCUCAGCCUUGGAAGUGCGCUCGAAACGGCGGGGCUGGAGUGCCGGAGGGGAGAGUGGAAUUCCCGGUGUAGCGGUGAAAUGCGUAGAGAUCGGGAGGAAUACCGGUGGCGAAAGCGACUCUCUGGACGGCAACUGACGCUGAGGCGCGAAAGCGUGGGGAGCAAACAGG
rnacentral:rRNA from 1 species